AUCACUUCUCGGCCUUUUGGCUAAGAUCAAGUGUAGAAAGAUUGCAUCCAAGAGAUAUUCAGAGUUGGUACAGGGACUGCCCUGGACAGCAGGACAGCUAAUACCCCCAUAUCAUAAGCUCCUCUUAUUCCACA
ensembl:snRNA U2 U2 spliceosomal RNA